CAGGCUGUGAUGAUUGGCGCAGGGGUACAGACCUCAGCUGAGCCAUGGGAGCUGAAUGUAUGUUUCCUCUUUGUCCUGCAUGUGGCAGGAUGAUGGGGGCACUUACAUGAGACUGAUGCCUCACUCUGAGCCUG